rnacentral:rRNA from 1 species
AUUGAACGCUGGCGGCAUGCUUAACCCAUGCAAGUCGAGCGAGCGGCGGACGGGUGAGUAAUGUCUGGGAAACUGCCUGAUGGAGGGGGAUAACUACUGGAAACGGUAGCUAAUACCGCAUACCAUCAUAUGUGCCCAGAUGGGCUUAGCUAGUAGGUGGGGUAAUGGCUCACCUAGGCUACGAUCCCUAGCUGGUCUGAGAGGAUGACCAGCCACACGUGAACGUAGACACGGUCCAGACUACGACGGAAGGCAGAAGGGGGGAAUAUUGCACAAUGGGCGCAAGCCUGAUGCAGCCAUGCCGCGUGUAUGAAGAAGGCCUUCGGGUUGUAAAGUACUUUCAGCGGGGAGGCGUUACCCGCAGAAGAAGCACCGGCUAACUCCGUGCCAGCAGCCGCGGUAAUUC